rnacentral:rRNA from 1 species
UCCCUGAAAGAUGAUCAGGUAGAUAGGUUUGGAGUGGAAGUGUAGCGAUACAUGGAGCGGACAAAUACUAAUCGAUCGAGGACUUAACCAAAA